AGCGGCGAACGGGUGAGUAACACGUAGGUAAUCUGCCCAUCAGACGGGGACAACGAUUGGAAACGAUCGCUAAUACCGGAUAGGACGAAAGUUUAAAGAUGCUCCUGGCAUCACUGAUGGAUGAGCCUGCGGCGCAUUAGCUAGUUGGUGGGGUAAAGGCCUACCAAGGCGACGAUGCGUAGCCGACCUGAGAGGGUGAACGGCCACACUGGGACUGAGACACGGCCCAGACUCCUACGGGAGGCAGCAGUAGGGAAUCUUCGGCAAUGGGCGAAAGCCUGACCGAGCAACGCCGCGUGAAUGAAGAAGGCCUUCGGGUUGUAAAAUUCUGUUAUAAGGGAAGAAAGGUGAUAGGAGGAAAUGACUAUCAAUUGACGGUACCUUAUGAGAAAGCCACGGCUAACUACGUGCCAGCAGCCGCGGUAAUACGUAGGUGGCAAGCGUUAUCCGGAAUUAUUGGGCGUAAAGAGCGCGCAGGUGGUUAAUUAAGUCUGAUGUGAAAGCCCACGGCUCAACCGAGGGACUGCUUUGGAAACUGUUAAACUGGAGUGCAGGAGAGGUAAGUGGAANUCCUAGUGUAGCGGUGAAAUGCGUAGAUAUUAGGANGAACACCAGUGGCGAAGGCGGCUUACUGGACUGUACCUGACGNUGAGGCUCGAAGCGUGGGNAGCAAACAGGAUUAGAUACCCUGGUA
rnacentral:rRNA from 1 species